GUAGAGUGGCGCACGGGUGAGUAACACGUAGGUAAUCUACCUUCGGAUGGGGAAUAACAACCGGAAACGGUUGCUAUUACCGCAUAAUGCAGCGGCACCUAAUGGUGACAGUUGUUAAAGCGGGGGAUCGAAAGACCCCGCGUCUGAAGAGGAGCCUGCGGCGGAUUAGCUAGUUGGUAAGGUAAUGGCUUACCAAGGCAACGAUCCGUAACCGGCCUGAGAGGGCGGUCGGUCACACUGACACUGUCAUACGGGUCAGACUCCUACGGGAGGCAGCAGUCGGGAAUUUUGGGCAAUGGGCGAAAGCCUGACCCAGCAACGCCGCGUGAAGGAUGAAAUCCCUCGGGAUGUAAACUUCGCAAGAACGGGAAGAAUAAGUAGGGGACAACACCCCCUAUGAUGACGGUACCGUUUGUAAGCUCCGGCUAACUCCGUGCCAGCAGCCGCGGUAAUACGGGGGGAGCAAGCGUUGUUCGGAUUUACUGGGCGUAAAGGGCGCGUACGCGGCCUCCGCAAGUCAGUUGUGAAAUCUCCGAGCUUAACUCGGAAAAGUCAACUGAUACUGCGGGGGCUAGAGUGCGGAA
rnacentral:rRNA from 1 species